UCUUGGCUCUGUCGCUCCAUGCUCUGUCUGACCUCCAUCAGUUCACCUUCCAGUCUGUUGAUUACAUCUUGUAGUUGGAGGAGCUGUGCCCCAUACCUGGCUUCAGUCUCAGCCAAAGUAUUUUCAAGAGCUGCUUUCUUUGAAGCAUCAACAAAAAAGAAAUAAUAAGUACUCAGCGUGGUCCUGUACCAAAUAGUGAAAGUAGUGAAGUUUAAGAUUUGCAUUCCCAGAAUGCAAUGCACCAGACACUGAGUGACACUGAAUAUGUUGAGAUAUAGCUGCAAACAAUACCUUUGUGCCCCGUAUCGGUUCUCAGUUUCAGCAAGAGUGUUUUCAAGUGCUGCUUUCUGUGAAGCAUCAACAAAGCAAAAAUGAUAAGUGGUUGGCCUGUUUUUGUACCAAAAAUUGAUAGGACCAAAGUUUAAUUGCAUUCUCAUACGUGAACUGUACCAGAGUCUUUGACUUAGUGACACCAGUUAUGUCUAGGUAAAGCUGCAGACAGUUUUAUUUGUGCCCUUCCUUAGAAGGCAAAUCCACCUACCAUGGUAAGAAGUGCUUGUAGUUCAAGCUCCAGACCCUGGACAGUCUUCUUCAGGUCACUGAUCUCUGUCUUUGAUGACUGAAGGG